AGGAUCUUGUAAAGAGUCCAGACUACAAACUGAAAACUCUGAGGAGGUGAUGAUCUUAGUGGAGGAGAGAAGCUGAGCUGUCCUGAUGAUCCAGAGGUUGAAGCCGCAGCAGUUUGAGUGUAAAGAGACUCUGACUGGAUCCUGAUGAUGAACUCUGACCUUAGAGAUGUUGAUCCUGUUUAUCUGAUCAUGUCUGUCAUUUAGUAUCUGAUAUUGUUUGUCUCUGUGGACCAAUGAGGAUCAAAUGAAAACUAAGCUGCAUUUAGUUGCUCCAUGUAGUUUUGAACUGAAUCUGAUGAAACUGCAAAGUUGAUCUUUUUUCUCUCUGCUUAAUUUUCAGCCUGUAACCCAGAAAUCUGAAAUAAAGCUCAACUCUAAAGUU